CGGGGUGUGGCCCAGUGGUAGGGCACUCGCUUGGGGUGCGAGUUGUCGCAGGUUCGAGUCCUGUCACCCCGA
rnacentral:tRNA from 1 species